GAUGAACGCUGGCGGCAUGCCUAAUACAUGCAAGUCGAGCGAACAGACGAGGAGCUUGCUCCUCUGACGUUAGCGGCGGACGGGUGAGUAACACGUGGAUAACCUACCUAUAAGACUGGGAUAACUUCGGGAAACUGGAGCUAAUACCGGAUAAUAUAUUGAACCGCAUGGUUCAAUAGUGAAAGACGGUUUUGCUGUCACUUAUAGAUGGAUCCGCGCCGCAUUAGCUAGUUGGUAAGGUAACGGCUUACCAAGGCAACGAUGCGUAGCCGACCUGAGAGGGUGAUCGGCCACACUGGAACUGAGACACGGUCCAGACUCCUACGGGAGGCAGCAGUAGGGAAUCUUCCGCAAUGGGCGAAAGCCUGACGGAGCAACGCCGCGUGAGUGAUGAAGGUCUUCGGAUCGUAAAACUCUGUUAUUAGGGAAGAACAAAUGUGUAAGUAACUAUGCACGUCUUGACGGUACCUAAUCAGAAAGCCACGGCUAACUACGUG
rnacentral:rRNA from 1 species